ACUCCUACGGGAGGCAUCAGUGGGGAAUAUUGGGCAAUGGAGGAAACUCUGACCCAGCGACGCCGCGUGCGGGAUGAAGGCCUUCGGGUUGUAAACCGCUUUCAGUAGGGAAGAAGCGAAAGUGACGGUACCUACAAAAGAAGCACCGGCUAACUAUGUGCCAGCAGCCGCGGUAAUAC
rnacentral:rRNA from 1 species